rnacentral:lncRNA from 1 species
UUGAUGUACAUGUUGAAUAGUAAAAUGAGAUUACUAAUGCAGUAAGCUUUUGAACUCAAUACAAGUAGUCUGACAUGAGUAAUGAAUAAGGCAUAAUAUUUAAGUAAACCUGAAUAGAUUACUAAUUAUUUCAAAACUUGAAGAAGUAAAUUAUUGAAACUCUUUCAAGUCUUAUAACGAAAACAUACUAAAGAUAAAAGUGCAUCAUCAACUCUCAAUGUAGUUGGAAACGUAUAACUUUCAAAGCAAUAUAAAAUUAGAAAAGAAAGGGAUUUGCACCUAAAAAUAAACUGACAUUUGGUUCCCAUCAGCAGCUCUUUUUGCGAUGAUUUUUUGUUGAAAUGAUCUAAAAUAUUCUGCACGAACUAGUUCCAUUGUAGAAGUAUUCAUUGCCAUUAUUGUAUUGUCCUCUUUUCGAACUUGAAUUUCAAGUUCCUGUUUCCUCAGCUUGAUGUUCUCUUGUUUAGCAUUAUACAUUAGUUGAAAUUGCUCAUCCUCCUUACGAGCGUGUUCAACUUUCAGAGCAUAAUAGUCUCCUAAUUCGGACUGGGUUGCUCCGACUUUCUCUUUAGCUUUUGCAUUCUUUGCCAAGGUCUUGGCAGCCUUUUUUCCUAUAGGCCUCACCAAGCCUUGAGACUCAUUGCGACCAUCACCAUCAGCUAAAUCGACUGUAUCAGGGCUAGCAGAUGGAGUGUCAAGAGAUGGAGUGACAGGAGAUGGAGUUGCAGAUCGUCUUUGGUUUUUCCUAGAGAGUUCCAAGUUCCAUUUUGGGUGGAACUUCAACAGAUUCCAACAAUGCUCAUAUGCAAAGUUUCUUUUUAGCAAUUUCCUAAACUUUUGUUUGGCUUCCUCAGCAUAGAAAUACCCCCAAAUUCUUUUCCAAUAUGCAUCACCUUUUUGAUCAUUUCCUAUUAUUGGAUCAAGGGAAGUAUUGAGCCAGGCAGAGACAAGAAGGAUGUCUUCUUGACUGGAGAAAUUCUUGACUCUUUUAGCUUUCUUUGUGGUUUGAGAUUCACUCUGAACACCAACUUGAUUUUGAAUAGGGCUCUGACUAUAGCUAAUACCAUCACCAGAUGCAAGAUAACCCAAAUUCGGAAACAUAUUUUCAUUAUUCCCUGAGCUUCCACUGAGGAUACUGGCAUAAUUUAAAAUAUCAUCUCCUAAAUCUAUUUCAACAAGAGGGACUUGAGUAGAAUCCAUCUACAUGUAAAGAGAGUUGAUAAAGCAUCAAAAAAGAUUUAGAGAACAUGUCAAAGCAACAAGUAUAUCCCAUCAAUUUCAUCAAGUAUGUAAUCCAUACACGAUCCAACAUCCAUCCAAACACUACGUCAAUUUUGCAAUCAUACGAUAGGGAUCAGACGACAGAAGUCGUUUUUACUGUCGUCUGAUAAAUUUUAACGACAGACAUUUAAAUAUCUGUCGUCUGAAUAUAGCAAACGCGCAAAGAUUAGAAUUCCCGAAUUGUUGAGAUGGCAGAUGACUGUCGUCUGAAAAACCAGAAGUUUUUUGUUUUUUUUGGCAUGACUGUAAGAUCAUUUUUUUGACACUUAAACCAACUCUCACAUCCCAACUCUCAUUCUCUCUCCCCGAUUCAUAUCACUCUCACAAUAACUCUCUUGCUCAUUCUCUCCACUCAUAUCCUCACACCUUCAUUCUUGCCCAAAUCCUGUCUCUCUCCAUCUCCAUCUCCAUCUCCGAUCUCUCUUCGGCAGACACAACAUAUCUCUCCCUCUGACGCGUUUGUGGGCAUCGGUCUUUCCAAAACCAGCCAACCCUCAUGUUUCACGACUGUUGGUAAGCCCUUUAAUUCACUAUUAUUCGAUUUAGGGUUCUUACUGGAGUCGUUUUGGGUUUUGAGGUUCAUCUGAAAUUCAAUUUGGGGGUUUUGAAAAUUUCCUUUCAAUUUCGAAUUAGGUUUGCUAGGGCUCGUUUGAAUUGGGGAUUUUGAAACAGACAUAGGUUCAAUCGAAUUUAAUUUAAUUACUAAAUUCAAUUCUGAUUGCUUUAAUCGAAUGAUUUUUUGUUUGUUUUAGGGUUUCAUAAUGGUGAUUAGGUCAAGGGAUAUGCUGGGUUGAUUCCAAAAUUUAACUCGUAUAUUGUUUUCUUUGAUCCAUGUCCAUGAAUAAUGUAUUCCUAUUUAUGGUGGUUUGGUCAUUUUUUCUGGAUUUCAAUUUGGUGGUUUGGUCAUUUUCAUUUGAAAUUCGCUUUGGGUUGGCUAAUUUUUAAUCGAAUUGGGUGUGGGGUUUAUUGGACUUGGGUGUGUACGACUUGCAGAAAUUUUGAAGUUAGCAUCUCAGAAGAUGUCGAGCCAUUGCGGGUUACAGUUUCGUGUUUUUAAACAUGCAUUGAUAGUUACAGUUGUGUUCUAAAUGCAGAAUUGGUGAAGUUGAUGAUUACCCAGUUAGUAGUAAUGUCUAUUUAAAUUAAGGGAUUGGGUGACUUUUAUUGGGGAAUUUAUAUUGAAUGAAAACCAGUUAUGUGUAUUCCCAUAUUAGUUCUCUGAAUGAACAAGAUUCUUGAACAAUAAGGGUCUAGUUGUAGCUAAACUCUGAAGCAGCUAAAAGAAUGGAAUUAUGGGAUUCUUUUGAUAUGAAUUUGGUGUUAAAAAUUUGACAUCUUUUUUAGUUGCUCUAUAUCUUUCUUGUUGUUGAUGUAGCUGUUGCUUUGGUUCAUUAGUGAUGAUGAAUUGAUGAUGAUGGUUGCUGCAAAGAGGCAUGAAAGAAAAAUUUGAAAAUAGAUAUUGCGCUCAUUCUUUUUCUUUUUUCCUUUACUCUUUUGAUAAAUACUUUUCUAUGCUCUCAUUUGAUUCUCUUUUUUGACAACAGAACCAUUAUAUGGAAACCAAAACAUCUGUGGCUGGUUUGGUCAGUAUUGGUUUUGGGACCAUUUAUGCUGCAAGUAAAGGUCAGCCCAUUACUUACAUAUAAUGUCUAAGUUUGCAAUGUGGUAUUUUACAUUAUAUGAAGGGAAAAGGCAAAAGCUACAUUUUAUCUUAUCUUGUUUGUUUUCUUCUGCUGCGAUUAAUUAGCUUAUGAAAAUCUGGCUUGUGAAUGGGCGAAAGACAAUAUCAGGAGCAAUGAUAUUGCUCCUUGGUACACCACUAGAACCUCACUUGUGGAACAUGUAAAAUACUCGUACCCUUUUUAGAUUAUCAUCAGUUAAAACCUUUGCAUGUGUGAAAUAGUAUAAUCUACUGGAGAUUAAUGUCUUUUUUUUAGAGUUUACUUAGGAUAUUCAGAAAAAUUAUGCAGCAGACCUGCAACUUUGAAAAUUCAUAACUAAUUGUAGAAAACUUAUUUUGAAGAGAUUUCAGUUCUGAAAUGAUCAUGUACAUGUCUAAUCUAACUUUCAUGAAGACACAAAGUUUGAACAACCAUCCAGUUUGUACAGUUUUUAGAAAGAAGGUAACUGGUACAAAAUCUCAGAAAAUACUGAUCUGCAGAAUUUCCUGAUGCAGGUCCUAGACUUUGAAAAAUCAUAACUUAAUCUAGAAAAAUCAUUUUCAAGUGAUUCAAAUUCUGGAAUGAACCUUAAGAUGUCUACUACAAUUCUUAUGAAGAAACCAACUUCAAAUUCCAAAUGAAAUUGUACUGUUUUCAGACCAAAGCUAACCGAUCCAGAAUCUCAGAACUCCAAAUAUUAAAGCUGAAAAAUAAUGAACCAAUUUUAAGAACUUGGAACCAAUUAAAGGGCAUAAACAAUUUAAUAAAGAUGUCAUAGAUUUCAGACUUUUCAGUAUAUGCAUGGUUUUCUUUUAUGGAUGAGAAGAUUGUAUAUAUGGAUUCUUUGAUAGAGUUUACAUUCAUUGAUAUGUUAAUAUCAUUGCAUUUGCUAGAUGUAUCUCAUAUCAUUGAUAUGUUAUAGUAAAAGUGAGCAAAGAUUUGUGUUACCUUCUUUACUCUUUAGAAUUUGAAAUUUUUAACUUCCACAAAGUAGCAUGUAUACCUGCAUAUUAUGUAAUUUUCUAAUAUUAGGGAGCAAUAAUGUUGUGCAAUUCUAAGGUCAAUGAGUGUAUCUGGUAGUUAUUGCUCUAUGCAAAUUUGUCAAUGUAUCUAUGAGUGUAUCCCUGCACAAAUAUGCACUUGUCCCUGCAUAUUCUGGUAGUUAUUGGUAUGUGCAAUACUUAAAUUAUUCAGGGGAAAAAUGAUCAAUGCCUUUGUGAUAUGUGAAUAUACUUUCCUAGCAGCAUGUUAUGAUCAUGUGUUUACUGUUAUAAACUAAGAUUCAUAUUUUAUCUUAUUAGGAGAAGAUGAAGGGCAUGUCAACAGAUGAGCUCAUGAGCAUAUCAGCAGGGACAGCAGACUUGUCAAUGGUAGAGAGUUUACACUUGUUUUAAUUUUGUUGAACGGUUGGAGAUAGAGUGUCGGUCUAUGUGCAAGUUGGAGCUAAUUGUUCAUGUGUUGUUCUUUCUUGUGUUUCUUAGUCAAAUGAAUGGUAAGCAUUUGUCCAUACAAUUAUAACCAUGUGAUACUACUCUAGCAUUUUGAUCCUCAAUUUAGACUAGUACCUUUUAUGAUCAUUUGGCUAUGAUCCUAGUAAGAGUUGGACUUAAUGAUUUUAUAUUUCUUUAUUCUUGUCUGCAUAUAUGCACUGUCCAAAUACUAUUAUUUCAGGAACUUGGUCUCAUUCAUUAUUUUAUUUUUUUUGGCUCUUCAAGAUUACUCAAAGCACCUCAAGUAUAGGAAGUAAUUGCAAUUUGCAAGAGAUUUUCAUGAUAAUGAAUAGAAAUUAAGGCAUAUUUUGAUGCAAGUAUAGACUUUUCAGAGUUCAGACAUAUGUUUAUGUCUUUAUGAUCUAUAGCAUGUCGAUUUUUAAUUCUUUGAAUUUACAUAGCAUACAUUUAAUUGUAUCUUGAAUUUUGAUUGACAGAUCUUGUGCUUGCAUUCUAGAAUCCAUCUGACUGACCAACGUGGGUGGUACUUGAAUUUUACCUGGGUGUUCAAACCUGCCUCAAAUCUUCAGUCGCUGGAUAUAUCCCAGGACAUGAUGAACAUCCAGGUAUAUUAAUAAAACUUUAGUUAUAUCACUUAUAUAUGCAUCUUUCCAAACAAGAUUCAUUUCAUGGGGUAUAGAACCUUACCCGAAUUUAUGUACCAGCUCAUAUUGUUAUAUGAAAUAGAACUAGCUCGAAUAGUUAUAUCCAACAAGUUGACUAGAGUAGUACUUUUACAAGUUCUUGCAAUAACAGUAAAAAAGAUUUCAACAUCUUGUUAUAAAGUAUUGGUUGAUCAUAAAUUUCCUUGAACAUCAGGUGGUGCUUUGAUAUUCAUAUGAUUAUGUUGAUUUCAAUUUUUCAACAUCCAGAAUAGUGAGAAUAGCCAUAUGCUUUUCUAAAGCAGUUAAAACUGUCAUUACCCCAUUUGAAGCCAACAAUUUAACUGCUCCAAAUUGAAUCCCUUAAUUCGAACUUGUAACAAUUGCAUGCCUGAUAAUCAGUUAAUUAAGGUGUUGGAUAAUGAUUUUUCAAUUCUGUUUGGUUUUUGUGUUCUUUAAGUAAAACUUGUUGAAGUUCUGUAUCUUCAACUUGGCAGGAGACGCUUGAUUAAAUGGUGGAUGCUGAGUUAGGGUAUAAAGGAGGAGGUAUCAGAGUACACCACUACAGAUGACUUUCUGCCCUCUAGAGUACACCACCAAUUAUUUGGUUUGAUUGUUUUUUUCUGUAGUUAUUAGGUUAUAUAUGGAAUGACCAUUGUAUUGUAGAUGUACUGUAGCCUGUAGGUCAUUAUAAAAAUAGUAACUUAUUGAUGUUAUAGCUUAUAGGUCUCUUUAUAACUCUUUGUAAACUUUGUUGGUUUUGGGGAAUGAGAAUGGCUUUGAGAUUUUUGAAUAAUGUUCUGCAGAUGCAGACUUUUGGUAUAGGUCGCUUGAUUAUAUUGUUGGUCAUAAAACAUUCAAACGAUAGACAUAAAGAACUUAUUACACAUUAAAACGACAUAUAAUUGUCUUUUGGUACUGAUAUAAACGAUAGACAAGUAAACACAUCUGUCGUCUGUAUCAUAAAAUUACAUAAAAUUAAGCAUUCAUACGACGAAAUUGUGAUGUCUGACCUGAUCUCAAACGAGAGACAAAUGAGGUUAUAAACUAUUUCAACGACAAAUAAGCGUAGUAGUACUCGUGUAAAGACGACGGAUAAGUUAAGAAAAGAAAUGAAAAAAACAUUCGAACGUCAAACAAGUGACGUUAGAAUUUGUUUGAGACGAGAGACAGAUGAAAUCAUUUGUAGCUUCAGUGUCCUUUCAACGACAAUUCAUUGUCGUUGUAAUGCUUUCUAACGACAGAUUCAUUUUUUGUGUUACGAACUUGGAUUCAUACAAAUGACAUUCAAUCUAUCGUAUAACCUUCAUCAGACGACAUACAUCGCCUGUCGACUCAGAGCUUAUCAGAUGACAGCUUGAUAGACGACACGCAAAAAAAUAAUCAGACUACGGGCAUUGCCCGUCGUCUGAAGGCAAAAUUGGCGCAGUGAAAGCAUAUACAUACACUACCAGAAGAAAGGCUUUAGCCAACGAAAAUAAAAAAACCAGGCCGACGAACCAUUUUUUCGUCGGCUAAGGUUCACGUCUUUCGUCGGCUAUGGUCAACUUUAAUUUCGUCGGCUAAAAAUUUUUUUUCGUCGGCUAAAGUUCACAGACUAUAGCCGACGACUUUAACCAUACUUUAGCCGACGAAAUUAAAAUUUUGUCGGCUAAAGUGCUUUAUAUUCGCAGAUCUGGACUGCAGCUCAUCUGGGGAAAAAAAACGGGAGAAAAAGUUUGGGUGUUGUCGAAAUCUGUCCAUAAUUAGUUUGUGGAGCUAUAUAUAGUUACGUACGACGUUCUUGAAAGUGUGAUGGACGUAAUGAAGAUUAAAGUUGAGACAAAAUCGACCGUAAAGGCUGUUGAUGAUUAUCUACAGUACACUGCUUCGAUGCUGCCCCACGGUCAUCGUCUUCCUACCACUCAUCAUAAGGUCUGAUGUAUCCUGAAAGAUCUUGGGCUUUCCGACAUCAAGAUCCAUGCAUGCAGAUAUGACUGCGUUCUCUUCUGGGUUAAAGAUCCAGAAGGGAAUGACCUUGGUGGCCUUGACGCAUGUCCGGUAUGUCACACUGACAGGUAUAAGCUGACUCCUACAGGCAAUAGGAAACCUGUGAAGGUACUUCGGUAUUUCCCGUUGAGGGAUAGGCUGGAGCGGUUGAGGGAUAGCUUCACACACGGCCGAAGCUAUGAGAUGGCACGCUAAUAGGGAAUUGCAUGACGAAGAUACCCUUAUACACCCUGCUGACGGGGAGGCUUGGAAGCAUAUAGACAGGCAGUUUUCUCAUUUUACGUCAGAGGUCCGAAAUGUGAGGCUCGAGCUCUCAUCCGACGGGUUCAACCCUUUUGGCAACAUGAGUCUUCAAUACAGUGUGUGGCCGGUGAUUUUGGUACUGUACAACCUUCCUCCAUGGAUGUGCAUGAAGAAGGAAUACAAUAUGUUGAGUUUGUUGAUUCCGGGGCCCGGUUAUCUAGGGAAGUGUCUCGAUGUGUAUUUGAGACCUUUGAUUGAAGAGCUUAAGUUUUUGUGGGACGUUGGUCAUCCCACUUAUAACAAGUACAUGCACGAGAUGUUCCAGAUGCAUGUCAUGGUUGUUGGUACCAUCAGUGAUUUUCCUGCCCGUGGGAUGUUGUCGGGCAACGUUGUUAGGGGAUACAAAGCCUUUCCAGAGUGCCUUAGCGAUGAGGGGAGCAGAAGUCAUUGCAACAAGAUAUGCAAAUUGGGUCACCGUACUCUCCUUCCAUAUGAUCACGAAUGACGGUUCGAUGCACAUGCAUUUGAUGGGACCGUAGAAAAUGGUGUGCCUCCCAGAAGAUGGACGAGGGAAGAAAUUUUAGCAGUGCUUAAUAAGUACAAUUUUGGGUAGCUCAGCAAUCAUCCCAAUAUUGUGGCGGCAAUACCUGAAAGACCCGACAGGUACAAAUUCUGGACACAUAAGAGCAUAUUCUGGGAACUCCCAUACUGGAGAAAGAUGUUGAUCAGGCACUACCUAGAUGUGAUGCACAUAGAAAAGAAUGUUUGCGACAGUGUGGUGAGCACAGUGCUGAACUUGGAGGGGAAGACGAAAGAUGGUCCUAAGGCACACAUUGAUCUAAAAAAAAUGCAAUUAAGAAGACAUCUGUGGUUGAAAGAAGGGAAGAAAAAAAUGCCUCAAGCUCUUUACACCGUGAAGCCUGACCAGAAGAACGUAAUUUUCAAGUGGAUGAGUUGUGUGAAGUAUCCUUCAGGCUAUGCAGGAAAUAUAGCCCGGUGUGUGAACUUCCGGGACAAUAAGAUGUACGGGUUGAAGAGUCAUGACUGUCAUAUCCUGCUACAACGUCUCUUCCCUGUUUUCAUUCGACCGUUCAUUCACCGUCAGGUGGUGGAGCCAUUAGUAGCGUUGGCAAGAUUCUUUCAGAAGUUAUGCACACGGGAAGUGAAAAAAUCUAACCUCCGAGAAAUACAAAAGGACAUCAUUUAUAUCAUGUGUAAAUUUGAGAGGAUAUUUCCUCCAAAUUUUUUUAACAUCAUGCCUCACCUGAUGAUCCAUCUUCCCGAGCAAUUGUUGCUUAUCGGUCCAGUACACUACACUUGGAUGUAUCCCAUGGAAAUGUACGUUUUUUACACAUGAAUUCCUCAAUAUAUAUGUUCAAUAAUCAUAACACUUUGCAACUUGAUUUAUAGGCAACUUGGAGACUACAAAGAUUAUGUGGUUAAUAAAUCCGCGCCUGAAUGAUGUAUAGCUAAAGCAUAUAUUGCGCACGAGUGCGUCACCUACAUGAAGUUGUAUUUAGGACCGUUGAAGGAAACUUCGCAAACCAUACCGGUAGAUUUACAGAAGUUCAAUCUUUCCAUACUCUUCAGUGAUGUGAAGUUUAUGGAAUUUUGCCAGACUCCUACAAGUUGCAACCACAUGAGCUAGUCAUUGCCCAUUGGUGGGUAUUGAUUAACUGUCCAGAAGUUGAAUACUGGAAAGACAUCCAUCUAAAUUGUCCAGACAUUCAAGGUGAUCUCGAUUACCACAACAGGGAGUUCGCAAACUAUUUUGGCGGCUAGUUACGUAAUUCAAUAUUUCUGUACGUAUUUAUGUUUAUUGCAUAAUUAUCCAUAUUUACAGUUGAAUGGUUUGUUGCAGAUGAACCAUAUUCAAUUUGAUGGUCACCCAAAUUGGUCGCACGAACUAAGACUUCUAGCGAUGAAGCCGAUAAUGUCAAGAGUUUAUCCGAUGUGCAAGGUGAAUGACGUGCAAUUUAUAUGUGAACAGAGAGACAGCAGACGGAAAACACAGAAUUCUGGGGUGAUGGCGCAUGGUAGGCGGAAUGGAGUUGACUAUUACGGUGUUCUCCAUUCAGUGGUGAAACUCGUUUAUGGGCAAGGCAUGACAGUGCACAUUUUCAAGUGUAGAUGGUUUGAUACUAGGCCGCAGAGCAUGAAGACCGAUCAGUACGGAAUAUUAUCGGUGAACACUGCUACAAGUUCUUACGAAAAUGACCCGUUCGUUUUUACCACAUCGGUAAAACAAGUGUUUUAUCUUGAUGACCUUGCUAAGGGUGACGCGUGGAAAGUAGUCAACCUUGUGCACCCUCGAAAUAUUUACCGGGCGGCUACACUUGGAGAGGCCGAAAACGAGGAAGAAGAUGUUGCGUAUCAAGAGCCCAGCGCAAUAGGUAUUCCUAACUCCUCUACCGUUCGCCUUAGUAAUUUUAAAGCGGGUCGUUCGGUGCGAAUUCGUGAUGAAGAGCCAAGGCUUAUUGAUGUUGAUCCAAAUCAAGAAACAGACGAAGACUCUGGCGUUGAGGAAAGAAAUAGAUUACCAUAAAUUAAUUCUGAUACCGAAGAAGACUCAUCGGAUGAUUCCGAUUACGAGCCUUAGUUUUAAUUCCGAUUACAUUAAUUUGUAAUAAAAAAGAAUGUAUAACCUUUAUAGUUUACAUAUGUUGAAUUCAUAUUUAUGUUAUUUUAUAUGAAUUUUGGUGUUAUAUGAACAUGAAGUUAGUAUGGUUUAAACCUUCUGUUUUUUUAAUGUAUUUUUUAUACUUUAGCCGACGAAAUAUACCAUAAUUCGUCGGCUUAAACCAUCUUGGCCGAUGAAAUAUACCAUAAUUCGUCGGCUUAAAUCAUCUUAGUCGACGAAAUAAGUCAUAAUUCGUCGGCUAAGAUGCGGUUAGCCGACGAAUACCCUAAUAUUUCGUUAGCUAAACCCUAAACCAUAAACCUUAGCCGACGAAUACCCUAAUAUACGACUUGUUGUGUGUCAUCGAUUUGAAACUAUUUUCAGUUGAAGGUCCAGGAAAAAUACGUAAUUUAGACGGUCCAAUGACCUUUUCCGUGCGUUUAGGGGUUUGACUUAACAGAUUGACCGUCCGGAUCGAGCCCUUAACCUUGUAGUUGAAUUUUUUCCCAUACGUGUAUUUUAUCAUGAUAGUCAGAUCUGACGGUCGGAUUUCCGUUUCUCAAGUUUGAUCAUCACAAUCACAACAUGCCUACUAAUGUUGUAUAACUUGUUUACCAAAUGUUAAGUAAAUGUUCCGUUUCAAAAACAAACUAUACGUAAAACCUUCAAACGCAAAAAAGUUGUGAAAUAAGAUAUGACCAGAAUGGUGAAAUACAUCCACGGUUGAAAAAUCACCGUAUUCCGGUAAAGUCUCGGUGCCGAUAGUUGCGGUUAAAGCAAUUUUCCAUUUUUUCUCCCUAUGGUAGCCCUAAUGUCGGUGGUUAUUUUCCGUAAAAUUUUUAUACGACUUGUUACGUCUCAUCGAUUUAAAACUAUUUUCAGUUGAAGGUCCGCCUAAAAUACGAAAUUUGGACGGUCCAAUGACCUUUUCCGUGCUUUUAGGAGUUUGACUUACAGGAUUGACCGUUCGGAUCGAGCCCUUAACCUUGUCGGAUCAAGUUGAAUUUUUUCCCAUACAUGUAUUUUAUCAUGGUGGUCAGAUUUGACGGUCGGAUUUCCGUUUCUCAAGUUUGAUCAUCACAAUUUGCCGAAUGUAUAAAAAGUACUUUUACCGACGAAUUUCAACGUUUAGCCGUGCGCUCGACCUUCCCGAGUUUGCGAGACUAAACCCUAAACACCACCUCCACCUCCUCGCCCGCCUUGCCGUGACGCCGUCGCUCCACAGCCUCCAUCGCCUCCUAGCAAAGCCCAAUUUCCCUCUCCCGGUCGCCCUCUGCUGCUCGCCUGCUCCGCCUCCACGCCCUCCAGUCCACCACCGUGUACCUCCUUUAAGCCUAAAGUGAGCCCCCUUUCUCACUUUAUUUGCCUUCAUUAUAUGAGAUUUUGUUGGCAGUGGUGGCGUUUUGGUGUUUCUUGAUGAUUUCCGGUCGCUUGUGAAUCUUUGAUCUUGAUUUUGGUUGUUUGAUAUAUUGGAUUACAGAGUUGAGAAUUUGAAAAGUUGGAUGAUCGGAGGAUAUUGUUUUAGUUGGAAGGUGUUGAAUAUCAGCUGUUGUUAUUGUUGUUAUUGCUGUUAAUGUCCAAACUUCUUAGUGUGUUUGAUAAAGAGAUGAUGAAGUUUGAUGNNNNNNNNNNNNNNNNNNNNNNNNNNNNNUUUGUGUAGUUGAGUUUCCUCAACUAUAGUUUAUGGGUGGUUGAUUUGAUUGCGGCGUUUUUGAAUUCGUAUAAUGCAUUGCCGUUUGUUAUUGGAUUAGUGCAUGGUUGUGUAGUGAAAUUGUCUAUUAUUUGAGUACCUCUAUUUUUUUUAUGCACGAGAUGAUUGUUGCAUUAUUGAUUCCGGUGUUUAAGAACUUUAUGUUAGUAUUAUGUUAUUAUAUUUUCAAUUUUAACUUAUGAUAUAGUAAUUGCGUUAUACGACCGAAUGAUCGAUACAUUUUUUUUUUUCCGAUAAUGAUCGGCACUUCAUAUAUGAACCCCCCUAUGAUAAAUUUCUAGCUCUGCCACUGUUCCUCAGCCUUGAUUUAAAUUAAUAUUUUAAACAGGAUGAGUGGUAAUUUUAGAUCAACGAAGGGUUCGAAGGGCCAAAGGUCUGAAUCGUCUAAGGAACUUCUAGCAACCCUCAAACGUCGUUUCAGGGCCUCAUGACAGCCAGACGUGCGACCCUUUUGGAGACGGCGCAAAAGCAGCCGGAGGUGCCCCCUUCAUCGAGGCAGCGGGGCGUCCCUUAUUCCUCGAGGCAACUGUGGCCUCAGACCCAGACGGAGGUGUCUGCACCCCGUAUGCCUGAGAUAUACCGGGCGCCCACUCCGGGUCCUACUUCUUCGGAUAGUGGGUCAUCUGGGGUACAGAUGCCGCCGCCUCAUCUGUUCCUUCCGCAUAUGAUACCGGCCUUAUCUGUAGUCGAUGGCUCAGGGACGCCGAUUUAUCCAUUGCCCCCGCCAGUGGCUCCAUCAGCAGCGUACCGGUUCGUGCCUUUUGAUACGUCUCUUAUUUCCGCGAGGGUAUCAUCAUCGGCGACAGAGACGGAAUCCGUCGCGUCCGCCGCAUUGCCCUAAGGUAAUGAAAGAUGAAUGAUUUGCUUUCUUAAAAUUAAUAAUAAAGGGUCUCUGAUUUUAAUAAAUAAUUUGGUUUAUCAUGUGAUAGGCACCGUCGGAACGAAGCCGGCGAAGAAGAAGAGAGGCCCCGUCACAGGGAAGACUCUCGAGAAGAUCGUCAGUACCUCAGUGGGGAUCGUCAUCCGUACUAACGGGGAUGGCGACAUAGUAUCGGGCGGGAAGUCGAGAACGUACUCCGGCCGCGUGGGAGCGCUCAUUAGGGAUAGAGUCCCUAUGUUGUGGUCAGACUAGGGCGAGGUCCUGUAGGAGGUUAAGGACAUGGUCCACAACGCGAUGUCGGUGAGUUUACAAAAUGCCUCAAUAAUAUUAUGUAUUACAUUAUUGAUUUCUCGAAAAACUAAACUAAUAAACGGUUAAAUACAGGUGUGGUUUGAGGUUCCCAAGCACACCUGAAGACCAGCUGGGCGGACGUUGUGCAUGGGGGAAGGUACGUUGGGAAGUUAAUGAAAAAACAAAAUUGUAUGUGAUAUUAAUAAUAUUUCUAAUAUUUUUGUUGUAUCUGUAGGUAAAAAGAGUGGAAGAACGAGUUGCGGACCCACUGGACUACGCACGGGAACGCACGUUCUGGUACCCCUGCUGAGUUCCAGUACAAGGAGUACGAGUGGCGUAGGCUUCUGACAUCAGAAUUCAACAACCCUCGUAAACAAGUAUUUAAAAAAAUUAAUUAGUUAAUUUGUCAUUAAGUACGUGCGUUUUUAAAUAUUUUACUAAUAGUUUAUUUUUUCUUUGAAGGCUGUUUCCCAGGCGAACGCUCAGAACCGGCAACGCAACACAAGGAACCAUCAUGCCGGUUCUAGACCGUUCUCUGUCUUCAUGGACGAGGCGGCAGGGAACAUCCAGAAAUCAACCGGUACGUCUAUACGUACGAGAAUGCAUAUCCUGACGCCUAGGAGGAUAUUGUAAGUCAUCUUACGUUUUUAAAUUUUAAAUUUUACUUAUAUAUAUGUCAAAAUGUUAAUUAAUCAUUUUUUUUCCUAUCUAAUUAGGCGAAGGUGAGGGAGGCUAGUGACGAGGUAAUGAGUACUAUAGUGAGGGAGACAUGGCCGGACACGCAAGAGGAAGAGAUGUCCGAAGCCAUGUCCCGGAUCGACACUUCGGAUCCGAGGGUUGGGGCGAGGAUCAUGGGUACAACUUUCCCACCACGAGCAAACAACUUCUACUGUCGGGGUCUAGGAAAGAAGGGCAAGGGGCUCCUGAAGACCACUCCAGGAUUUCAAUGAAAUGUAGCCUCGACCAACAGGAGGACCUCGACCACCAGCAGGACAACUCAGCUAGAGUCGGAAGUUUAUAAACUACGGGAACAGCAAGCCGCGCAGGCAGCCUAUAUUGCCGCGCAGGCAGCCUAUGCUGCUGACAUAUAUGUCAUCCAGCAGGCCCAGCAGUAGCAAAUGUUCCAGUACAUGCAGAAGUUUACAGCUGCCCAGCUUCAAGGACUUCUGACUCCGCCCAUGCCUACGGCUAUACCCCUACCCCAGCCGCCGCAACCUCCGCAGCAGCCCCCAGAAGCGGAUAUUAAUUUAGACGAUCUAGAUUUUGUGUAGUUGAUGAAUUAUAUUGUUUUAUGUGCUUGUUGUUAGUUAUAUGGAAUUGUUUUGGUGUAUUUUGCAACUUGCUUGGAAUGGUAAUUUAGAAAUUUUGUGUUUUUUAUAUUACUGGAAUGGACUUAUAGCCGAUGAAACAUGUAAGAUAUUCGUCAGCUAUAGUAUUUUAAUUUUUUUUUUAAUAAGGUUUAGCCGAUGAAUUAUGGCCCGUUUCGUCGGCUAAACCCUCCUAAAGGCCAUAAUUCGUCGGCUAAACCCUCCUAAAGCCGAUGAAACAGACUACAUUUCGUCGGCUUUAGUUAUUUUUUUAAUUUUUUAUUACACACUUUAGCCGACGACUAUCUAAUUUCUUCGUCGGCUAAAAUCUGGGAAAAAAGCAGACGACUUGUUUUUCGUCGGCUAAAUUAUGGGACUAUAGCCGACGACGUCUUCUUGUUUUGUCGGCUAAAGUCAUCGCCGACGACCUUUUCCGACGAAAUCUUAGCCGACGAAUUAAGCUAACAGGCCGACGAAACUUUUUCGUCGGCUAAAGUGCUUGUCCUAGUAGUGAUAUAUAAACUAACCUCUAUCUCAAUCAAAUGAAACAUAAAAAAAAAGUAGAGUUAGUUAUUCUAUAUAUAAUACGUAACUUGAAAUAUAUCACAUUAGUAAUCUGGAUUACCCUAUCUUGUUCAGUUGUACCACUUGCUCUUUUCCUUUCAACUUCAGCAUAAAUGCCACAAAAUUUGUUAACAUCAAGUUGAAUUCCAGACCAACGAUUCAUGAGAGAACCCUUAUUGCGAUCACACUCUAGUUCAAAGGUCUUCUCAGCAUAGAAAUACCCCCAAAUUCUUUUCCAAUAUGCAUCACCUUUUUGAUCAUUUCCUAUUAUUGGAUCAAGGGAAGUAUUGAGCCAGGCAUAGACAAGAAGGAUGUCUUCUUGACUGGAGAAAUUCUUGACUCUUUUAGCUUUCUUUGUGGUUUGAGAUUCACUCUGAACACCAACUUGAUUUUGAAUAGGGCUCUGACUAUAGCUAAUACCAUCACCAGAUGCAGGAUAACCAAAAUUCGGAAACAUAUUUUCAUUAUUCCCUGAGCUUCCACUGAGGAUACUAGCAUAAUUUAAAAUAUCAUCUCCAAAAUCUAUUUCAACAAGAGGGACUUGAGCAGAAUCCAUCUACAUGUAAAAAGAGUUGAUAAAGCAUGAGAAAAGAUUUAGAGAACAUGUCAAAGCAAAGUAAGAAAACAAGUAUAUCCCAUCAAUUUCAUCAAGUAUGUAAUCCAUACACGAUCCAACAUCCGUCCAAAGCAUAUACAUAUAUAAACUAACCUCUAUCUCAAUCAAAUGAUUUAGAUCCAGUAUCUGAUAUAUCACCAAUCUAUUCAAGUUUCAAGAAAUUGCAAGGUAGUGUAUAUAUAUAUAUAUAUAUAUAUAUACAGGCCGGAUGUGAAGCGGAC